CGGAUCGGAGUCUGCAACCCGACUCCGUGAAGCUGGAUUCGCUAGUAAUCGCGCAUCGGCCAUGGCGCGGUGAAUACGUUCCCGGGCCUUGUACACACCGCCCGUCAAGCCAUGGAAGCCGGGGGCGCUUGAAGUGCGUUGCCGCAAGGCGCGCCCUAGAGCGAAACCGGUGACUGGGGCUAAGUCGUAACAAGGUACC
rnacentral:rRNA from 1 species